rnacentral:lncRNA from 1 species
CCGCCCCCAAAGGAAAUUCCGAUUCAUACGAUCAAUCAAAUACAAGCUGGGAGCUUGCAUGGAAUGGGUAUAGUGAUGGAUUUGAUGAGGGUGAGUCUACCAUAGGCGAUAGAAGGUUAGCUUUCUUACCAGAUUUUUCAACAAUAAAAAGUGUACUUGUCUAUUUGUGACUCUCAUGAUUUACGGCGUUUUCUUCCAGAAAUAAUACUCUCCCUUUAAUCUAAGAAAAUUAACCACGAAAUCAAUCAUUAAUGGAAUACAACAACUAGCAUUAACAAUAAAAAAUCAUAGUAACAUAGCAAGAGGAUCAAGUCAUCCAG